CCUACGGGUGGCAGCAGUGAGGACUAUUGGUCAAUGGGCGUAAGCCUGAACCAGCCAAGCCGCGUGAGGGAUGAAGGUUCUCUGGAUCGUCAACCUCUUUUAUAAGGGAAUAAAGUGUGGGACGUGUCCUGUUUUGUAUGUACCUUAUCAAUAAGGCUCGGCUAACUCCGUUCCAGCAGCCGCGGUAAUACUGCGGAUCCGAGCGUUAUCCGGAUUUAUUGGGUUUAACGGGUGCGUAGGCGGCCUUUUAAGUCAGCGGUGAAAGUCUGGGGCUCAACCAUAGAAUUGCCGUUGAAACUGGGAGGCUUGAGUAUGUGUGAGGCAGGCGGAAUGCGUGGUGUAGCGGUGAAAUGCUUAGAUAUCACGCAGAA
rnacentral:rRNA from 1 species